rnacentral:sRNA from 1 species
AUCUGAGUAAGGGACAUCAAUAGAACCAACAAU